GGGUGGCGAGUGGCGGACGGGUGAGGAAUACAUCGGAAUCUACUCUGUCGUGGGGGAUAACGUAGGGAAACUUACGCUAAUACCGCAUACGACCUACGGGUGAAAGCAGGGGAUCUUCGGACCUUGCGCGAUUGAAUGAGCCGAUGUCGGAUUAGCUAGUUGGCGGGGUAAAGGCCCACCAAGGCGACGAUCCGUAGCUGGUCUGAGAGGAUGAUCAGCCACACUGGAACUGAGACACGGUCCAGACUCCUACGGGAGGCAGCAGUGGGGAAUAUUGGACAAUGGGCGCAAGCCUGAUCCAGCCAUACCGCGUGGGUGAAGAAGGCCUUCGGGUUGUAAAGCCCUUUUGUUGGGAAAGAAAUCCAGCUGGCUAAUACCCGGUUGGGAUGACGGUACCCAAAGAAUAAGCACCGGCUAACUUCGUGCCAGCAGCCGCGGUAAUACGAAGGGUGCAAGCGUUACUCGGAAUUACUGGGCGUAAAGCGUGCGUAGGUGGUCGUUUAAGUCCGUUGUGAAAGCCCUGGGCUCAACCUGGGAACUGCAGUGGAUAC
rnacentral:rRNA from 1 species